GCAGAACUUGAGGCCUCCCUGGAAUAUCCUCAACCUCCCUUCUGUGACCCCCACCCCUAAGAGAAACAGCAGAACACUGGAGUGCACUGCAUGUUACAAGACUGGUGGCCACAUCACCCACGUGGGCACCCGCCCACACCCCACAGUUUGAGAACCUGCUCUGAAAAACGGCCGCUUGGUAAAUAUUUGUUGAAUUACUGAAUUCCAGCUACAGCUCCCCAAGCAAGCCUGGGCCUGCAGCCCGCGAUGCCAGGGCGCUCAAGCCAAGUGUACAGUAUUCUGUGG